rnacentral:rRNA from 1 species
UGGGGAAUAUUGGGCAAUGGACGCAAGUCUGACCCAGCAACGCCGCGUGAAGGAAGAAGGCUUUCGGGUUGUAAACUUCUUUUGUCAGGGAAGAGCAGAAGACGGUACCUGACGAAUAAGCCACGGCUAACUACGUGCCAGCAGCCGCGGUAAUACGUAGGUGGCAAGCGUUGUCCGGAUUUACUGGGUGUAAAGGGCGUGUAGCCGGGCCGACAAGUCAGAUGUGAAAUCCGCGGGCUUAACCCGCGAACUGCAUUUGAAACUGUUGGUCUUGAGUAUCGGAGAGGUAAUCGGAAUUCCUAGUGUAGCGGUGAAAUGCGUAGAUAUUAGGAAGAACACCAGUGGCGAAGGCGGAUUACUGGACGACAAC